rnacentral:rRNA from 1 species
GUAGUUUGAUCAGUGGCUCAGGAUGAACGCUAGCGGCAGGCUUAACACAUGACAAGUCGAGGGGUAGAGGAAGCUUGCUUCCUUGACGACCGGCGCGACGGGUGCGUAACGCGUAUGCAAUCUACCUUAUACGAGGGGAUAGCCCAGAGUAAUUUGGAUUAAUACCCCAUAGUAUAAUUGAAUGGCAUCAUUUAAUUAUUAAAGUUCCAACGGUAUAAGAUGAGCAUGCGUCCCAUUAGCUAGUUGGUGUGGUAACGGCACACCAAGGCGACGAUGGGUAGGGGUCCUGAGAGGGAGAUCCCCCACACUGGUACUGAGACACGGACCAGACUCCUACGGGAGGCAGCAGUGAGGAAUAUUGGUCAAUGGGCGCAAGCCUGAACCAGCCAUGCCGCGUGCAGGAUGACGGUCCUAUGGAUUGUAAACUGCUUUUGUACAGGAAGAAACACUCCCUCGUGAGGGAGCUUGACGGUACUGUAAGAAUAAGGAUCGGCUAACUCCGUG